rnacentral:rRNA from 1 species
CUUGGUCAUUUAGAGGAAGUAAAAGUCAUAACAAGGUUUCUGUAGGUGAACCUGCAGAAGGAUCAUUAGUGAAUCUACCCAUCUCUUUCGAGAGACUGGGCUUUCUUCUAUUAUCCAACACAGACUACGGAGAGUCGCAUUCUUAUGCUUCUUGUCCGGAUUGGAAACAGAGUCAUUGGUUCUUCGGAGCUGAUGGCUUUGGUUCCUAACUUUUUAAACUCUUAAUAAUUCAAGAAUGUUAAAACUAUUGUCUUCGGACAUGAAUAAUAUACAACUUUUGACAACGGAUCUCUUGGUUCUCCCAUCGAUGAAGAACGCAGCGAAAUGCGAUAAGUAAUGUGAAUUGCAGAAUUCAGUGAAUCAUCGAAUCUUUGAACGCACCUUGCGCCCUUGGGUAUUCUCAAGGGCAUGCCUGUUUGAGUGUCAUAACAAUCUCAACUCCCUUCAUUUUGUAUUUUGCGAGAUGAUGCUUGGAGCUGGUGAUGGGCGCUUGCCAGACUUCAUGUCUUGCUCGCCUGAAAUUGAUCAGUGGAUCUCCUAGAGUUCGGUCUGACUAUGUGUGAUAAUUUGAUCGCAUAGGAUGUGCUUGCACAACCGGGUCCUGUAAAGGAGUUUGUCUGCUUCUAACACGGAAUGGCUAGAAAGUAACUUUCUACCAUCGUCAGCUAUAUUGACUGACCUCAAAUCAGGUAGGACUACCCGCUGAACUUAAGCAUAUCAAUAAGCGGAGGA